GGUGUUGUAGCUCAGUGGUAGAGUGCUCGCCUCACAUGUGGAAAGCGCUGGGUUCGAUCCUCAGCACCA
rnacentral:tRNA from 1 species